GGAUCAAUAUAUCGGUCGUGCCUCUGGUUCGUACUGGUAUCAUUGAUUUCUCCUUUCUGACGAACCAUGAUGUCAUUAAUUUGGUGUUAUGGGGAGUUAGGACUGUUACUUUGAAAAAAUUAGAGUGUUUAAAGCAGGCAUUAGCUUGAAUACAUUAGCAUGGAAUAAUGAAAUAGGACGUUUGACCCUAUUUUGUUGGUUUCUAGGAUCGACGUA
rnacentral:rRNA from 1 species